rnacentral:tRNA from 1 species
GCCCUCAUCGUCUAGGGGUCAAGGACACCGCCCUUUCACGGCGGUAACUGGAGUUCGAAUCUCCGUGAGGGCGCCU